AGGGGGGAAUAUUGCACAAUGGGCGAAAGCCUGAUGCAGCAACGCCGCGUGAGGGAUGACGGCCUUCGGGUUGUAAACCUCUUUUAGCAGGGAAGAAGCGAAAGUGACGGUACCUGCAGAAAAAGCGCCGGCUAACUACGUGCCAGCAGCCGCGGUAAUACGUAGGGCGCAAGCGUUAUCCGGAAUUAUUGGGCGUAAAGAGCUCGUAGGCGGUUUGUCGCGUCUGCUGUGAAAUCCCGAGGCUCAACCUCGGGCCUGCAGUGGGUACGGGCAGACUAGAGUGCGGUAGGGGAGAUUGGAAUUCCUGGUGUAGCGGUGGAAUGCGCAGAUAUCAGGAGGAACACCGAUGGCGAAGGCAGAUCUCUGGGCCGUAACUGACGCUGAGGAGCGAAAGGGUGGGGAGCAAACAGGCUUAGAUACCCUGGUAGUCCACCCCGUAAACGUUGGGAACUAGUUGUGGGGACCAUUCCACGGUUUCCGUGACGCAGCUAACGCA
rnacentral:rRNA from 1 species